rnacentral:rRNA from 1 species
CUACGGGUCGCUCCAGUGAGGAAUCUUCCACAAUGGACGAAAGUCUGAUGGAGCGACACCGCGUGAAGGAUGAAGGUCUAACGAUUGUAAACUUCUUUUCUGAGGGAGCAUAAUGAGAGUACCUCAGGAAUAAGGGACGGCUAAUUACGUGCCAGCAGCCGCGGUAAUACGUAAGUCUCAAGCGUUAUCCGGAAUUACUGGGUGUAAAGGGUCCGUAGGUGGAUUGAUAAGUUGGAUAUGAAAGACCGAAGCUCAACUUCGUGUUUGUGUUCAAAACUAUUAAUCUAGAAUCAGGAAGAGGUAAGCGGAAUUUUAAGUGUAGGGGUGCAAUCCGUAGAUACUUAGAAGAACACCAAAAGCGAAGGCGGCUUACUGGUACUGUAUUGACACUGAGGGACGAAAGCGUGGGGAGCGAAAAGGAUUAGAUACCCCCGUAGUC